AUGCCAGAAGCUGCUAGAAAAAGCAGUUUGAUAUUCAGAACCUCAUCAAGAGCUUCUCCUCAUCUUUGGAUAGAGACCAAAAUGAUACUUUCAAACAGCCUGACAGGUUUCUCCGGAAAAGUGGCCAUCCAUGGAAUGAAUGAAAUGUUCCCUUUCUAUUCCAGCUCUGCCCUUUAUGCUGGGGAAUCUGUGUCUUCAUGUGAGCAGAAGGUGUCUCCCAAGCAAAGGAAAAGUCAGGCCCAUGGGCAUAGACAGUGCAUGGUUCUCCAGAACUGCCCCAUCCCUGGAACACCUACACAAAAAUAUAAGACGUGGUCCUGCCAAAAGAUGCUCUUGAAACGUUCAAGAAGGGCCUCACCUUCUUAUUGGACAAUUCCCUAA
rnacentral:lncRNA from 1 species